rnacentral:lncRNA from 1 species
AGAGCAGGAAGGAGAAGAGAAGUAUUUGAAGGGCGCAGAUGGAUUUUGCAGCUGGGGAAGGGAACAUUAGCAUUAGCGAAAUGUCUGUGGUGGAGCCCAGGUUUCCUUCACACAAAGGUCACAUCCCUUCACUGUGAAGAGAAUCAUGUUGAAGGACAAAGUGGUGGAACUUGUCUGUCACAGAUAUCACUAUGGCCUCAAAGGACCGUGCUACCUGUGUAUGUGGUCAUUCGCUUGUUCAUUCUGAGCCAUUUGCCACACCAAUUCUUCUCUCAAGAGCAUAUCUUCAUCUUCUCUUCAUAAAGACAGAUUUCUGCCUUCUUCUACCAUACAACUAAAGCAUCAGUCUCUGUACCCCUUUCCAGAAUUCUGACUCACGGGGGAGUAACAUUGAAGAGAAAAAAGCAGACAUAUGACCAGCGAAGCUUGGAAAUCUUGCCACGGUGGAUUGUUUUAAGGUUUAAAAGUAGUUAACCACACAAUGAGGCCAUGAAGAUAGAUGUUCAAACCCCGUUACAGUAUGUUCCAUGGAAGACUUGGGAAACUGCAGUGCCUGAAGACGGCAAGCAUGCUGCCAUUGGCUCAAGUCAAUACAAUAAGAGGACACCAGAGAUUUAACCCAGAACUGCAAAUCAGGCUCCUGGCCAUUGCAAAUGCAAGGACAAUAUUGUCUGCAGAGCUAGCAAGGGCAUCUCAUGCUCCUGAGGGAUUUGUCUACAGAACGACCUGUGUAUGUAGACAUUCUGAGAUAUUUUGAGCAUCGGAGAUGGCAUUGAUGAAAUGCAAGCAACUAUUUCAAGAUAUGUUUAAAUGAAUGAGAAGUCACCCGUGGUAGUUGUACUAUAAAUAGAAGAUUUGUAUCCUCUGAAAUAUGAGUUUAUCACAAAAGAAGCAAGUAAACUUCAUGG